rnacentral:rRNA from 1 species
UACGAGUGCCCCAAGCGUUAUCUGGAAUCAUUGGGCGUAAAGGGUGUGUAGGUGGUUGUGUUAGUCUUCUGUUAAAUCGCACGGCUUAACCGGGAGUCUGCAGGGGAAACGGCACAACUAGAGGAUGCGAGGGGUGAAUGGAACUCAUGGAGUAGGGGUGAAAUCCGUUGAUAUCAUGGGGAACACCAAAAGCGAAGGCAAUUCACUGGCGCAUUCCUGACACUGAGACACGAAAGCGUGGGUAGCGAACGGG